GCAUUUCGACAUUUCUAUGUAAGUGUAAGCUAGUUAUUGGGUACUAGCUAUGUGCCAAGCAUUGUUCUAAGUCCUAUAAGAAUAUUAACUCAUCUGGUCCAUAAUAUUUUGCAGAUGAAGAAACUGAGGCACAGAGAGGUUAAGUAACCGGUCAGCUAGUAAGCUUGGAGGUGGGGUUGGAACCCAGGGAGCUAGCACCAGAGGCCAUGUGUUUCAUCACUGCACUGCAGUAAAGAGAAGAAAGUACCAAAUGAGAGGGGAACCCAGGUCCAGUGUCAAGGUUUACCGCAGUCUCUCCCUCUUGGCUUCUAUCACCGGGUUGUGCCAACCUUCCUCUUCUUGACCAGGCAUUCAGCGUGUUAUGGCCUGGGUGUAAUACCACAGGUCUCCAAUAGGGGUCGCUGACUACAACAGGAUGGGACACCUGUAGUUGAACGGAGAGAACCCUGGGUCCUAACUUAACCUUGUCCUUGGCUUCCUCUAUGACCUCGGUUUCCUCAUCCAUAAAGUGGAUAUAACAGUCCCUAGCUGCCUUCCUCACAGAACAGUGGUGAGAAAUGUGAGGAUGAAAGUGAACACCUUCCAUUCAGAAGAGGCAGCUUCCAUCCAGAUGUUUUCAAAAAACCAGUCAUCCCAUAAUUACUUUUUGAGCGUCACUCACCGUGCCAGGUGCCAUAUGGAAUCCAGAAAUUACUUCUACCUUCGCAUAAAAGAACUUUGAAUAAAAGUUUAAAGCAAACUGUAACCCUGACAGUCGGGGGAGAGGCUCGAGCGCUCCCUGGUGGGUGGAAACAGCAGCAUCCCCUGCCCCGGGAAAGAUGAGGGGAUGUGAAGCAGCAGGACGUCUACUUCAGCCUGUGGCUGGAAGUCUCUCGCAUCCAGUAACUCAUCUCUUCCUCUCACAACCCGGUUUGCGCAUGGGGAAACCGAGGCACAGCGAAGCGAAGUGACCUGCCCGAGAACCUGGAUUCCAGGAACCUCCCAGCCAGCUAAUCCCAGAACAUGGAGUGGAAAGGGACAGCACGGGAAGACAAGUGACCCGAGCGGGCAGGGAGGGACGGAGAAGGGAGGACCUUCCUGUCCUGACACCCUGGCCAGGCAGACGGAGCUGAGGGCGGCCGCGGCGGCCAGCCUUCUGCAGGAGCGCCCCCUGCUGGUGACCGGUGCUGCCGCUUGUGGCGGCCGCGGGUGAAGGAGGAUGCUUAGCUCUGGGGGGGCUGUUCCCUAAGAGACAGGAGACCCCCACCAGAGCAGAGCAGGAAGGGCCCAGAGGCGUCGCCCCAACCUCUUCACUUUGCACAUGGCAAACGCGAAGCUCAGAGGAGGAAGUGACUCGCUCAAGGGCUCUCAGAGAGCCGACGGGAUGCAGGUCUCCCAGUCGUCCUUCCUCAUACUGCAGAAUUCUCCAUCUCCCGUCCCCUCCUGCCCCGCAUUCCUGAGCCCGGAGGGCCCCUUCUUCCCCUCCCGGCGCCCAGCCAGUCCCCAUUCCUCCUCUCCUCUCCAGCCCCUGCCCGCCCCACAAGCCCGUCCCCUCCAGGAACCCUCCCACACUCAGCCCCAGAGCUCUCCCUUCCCCAAGCCCUAUUGCCUCCAACGGCCGGGAGUUUAAAUGGCUUUCAAUUCCGGGACACAGCUUUGUCAGCCUGUCGGCACGAUCUUGGGGACCGUAGAUGAGGCUUCUUUCUUUCGGAUUCUCCCCUCACCUGCCUAGCCCCUCCUCACCCAGAGGUGCCUGGUACCGGGCGAGCUCUCCUCUCACUCGGUGAUGACGACUGAUGAAUGUCUUUUUCUUCUUCCUCCUACAAAGCAGCUCAGCAGUGUUUAUGGCCCUGGACAGCCAGGAUGCCUUUACUGGCUUUGGGGCUUUCCUUCUUAGCCAGUGACCUUAGGCAAGUCCCUUAAAAUCUCUCAGAGCCCCCAUUUCCCUGACUGUGAAACAGGGAUAGAGCUGUUCUCUGGGCUGGUUGUGAGGAUUAAAUGAGAGAACGUGUAAAAUGUGCCUGCAACAUUGUAGGUGCCGCAUAAUUGGCAAGGUGGAUUAGUCAGACUUCCAGGGAGCCUUGGGCCUCAUCCCUCUCCUAUUUGGCACCCUCUUUCCUAGAGAUGAACCUUCCAACCCUAAAACUCCCCACCUCCUGCCUCCUAUUGUAAGCCGAGUCAGGGAGGGGGCCACACAGUGACCUGGAAGGAUCCUAGGAAAGGAGGCUGCUGUUAGAAGACAGAAAAGGCUGCAUAAUGAGGGUAAUCAAGCCGCACUGCCAGGCUAAGGCUCCCGCCAAGGGGACCUUCAGCUCGGGCUCUGCCCCUCUCUCUCCCUCUUUGUGCUGCCUUCUCACCCUGCACCCUUUCUAAACACAUCUUUCUGCUUCUGCUUCUAUCAACUCCUGGUUCCUGCUUCUUAAAACUUACAGCCUGUGUCAUGACUGCUCCGACACCCUCACAGGGCCACAGCUACUUGGCUUGGGGCCCAGUGGCAUCUGCCAUGUAUUCCAAUACUUGUCUUAGGGGAAAAAGGGGACACCACACGGUGCUGCCUGGACUUGUCAAAGGCUGUUGGCUAGUUAUGGACAGGUCGUCCUGGGGUCAGGUAUCCAUACCAGGUCCAAUUGGCUGUGGUCAUGGGGACAGGGUGCAUGCUGUGAAGAAGGCCACAGAUGUAUUUGUCUGUCUAAUAAAAUAAACAUUCA
ensembl:lncRNA